UGUCAGUCCUUGAGCAUCAUUCAAAGCCUGGCCAUCUACCACUUUGAAUGAAACGGAAUCGCCUCCCAGUGUCGCUCCUCAAGAUCAAACGGAUUCAUCACCUGCCAGAGUUGCCAUAAAUCUUGAAAAUUCUCUUGAUUGUACUAGUAAGUCUGUGUCUCAGGAGUGUGCAAGGGGCACUGUGAGCCAAGAAAGCGAGAAGAUUGUAGAAACAACAAAUGACAGUUUUGAUCAAGAAAUCAUGGUAGCUGAUGCGCCAAUGUCGACCACUGAGCGAGCCCAGUUGUAUGAGGAAAUCCAGAAUUUGCGAACAGAAUGGGACAAUGCUCUUCAGCGAGUUGCUUACCUUGAAAAACUCCUGAAAGAAACAAAUAUGUGUUCAGUCUGUGGAAGGAAAUGAUGAAAAAUGCCAAAUGAUGACAGGAAUCAAGUGGGCCACAUUCAUGAAAAUCUUCAUGUUUUUAUGCCAGUUUGUGGGCAACAACAGCACAAACAAAUCAAGUAUACCACUGCAAGAGCAACUCUUCUUAACUUUGGUGAAACUGAGGCACAAUUUGUCAUUUGAAUCAAUUGCAUUUUUGAAAGGACUUCCCAAAACGACUGCUAUUAAUUGUUUCUGGCGCUGGAUAGACUUGGUGAAUGAAAAUCUUGGUUUCAUGAUUAAAUGGCCUGACAAGAAUCUCUUUGCUUUUUUAAUUUUCGUCCAACCGAUAAAAGACCCCCCAAUAAUAUAUAUGCGCCUGGUCAUCAAGUCAAAGGGGAAGCAGACUAUCCUCAUGGAGUGUCAAAAUAACUCUGGUACUGGGAACUAGAGCCGCGUCGAGGGCACCCGCAACAAAGCCAUUUCUAGCUUCUAUUGGCCAACAAUGAUUCAGGACAUCAAUGAAUGGGCAUGGGCACAGAUUUGCCUUCUGGACAGAGAAAGCGUCCCCUCUUCUUCAGGGAACUCUACAGCCUGUCUUCAGGGUUCCAAAGGCAACCCCCUCUAUAUCUUACUAAACUUCAAUCAGACAGUUGCCAGAAGUAUUGACUGCCAACAUACAUGAAAAAGUUGUCCUUCGGGAAGGUGACCGUGGUAUAUGCACAUUGGCUCUUGUGUGCUCCAGAAUCGGAGACCUUGGUUCUCCAGACUCCUUCAGAAGACGGGCACAUUUUAAAUGGCUUAACAGUGUCUGGGCAUGGAGCAGGUUCUGUGCAGAAUUCAGGAGAGAAUAUUACAACAUGUACACCAUUGAGAUCUGCCAUGGGUAUGGGGAGCAGUUCAAACAAUCCUCACGAAGU